rnacentral:rRNA from 1 species
UACGUAGGGGGCAAGCGUUGUCCGGAAUCAUUGGGCGUAAAGAGCGUGUAGGCGGUCCGGUCAGUCGGUUGUGAAAGUACAAGGGCUCAACCCUUGAAUGCCGGCCGACACUGCCGGGCUAGAGUCCGGAAGAGGUGAGUGGAAUUCCUGGUGUAGCGGUGAAAUGCGCAGAUAUCAGGAGGAACACCGAUGGCGAAGGCAGGCUCACUGGGACGGUACUGACGCUGAGACGCGAAAGCGUGGGGAGCAAACAGG